rnacentral:rRNA from 1 species
UACGAGGGGGGCGAGCGUUGUUCGGAAUUAUUGGGCGUAAAGGGUGCGUAGGCGGCCUGACAAGUCUGAUGUGAAAUCCCUGGGCUCAACCCAGGGCCUGCAUCGGAAACUGUCGGGCUUGAGUAUGGGAGAGGUGAGUGGAAUUUCCGGUGUAGCGGUGAAAUGCGUAGAUAUCGGAAGGAACACCUGUGGCGAAAGCGGCUCACUGGACCAUUACUGACACUGAGGUACGAAAGCUAGGGGAGCAAACAGG